rnacentral:rRNA from 1 species
CAGCAGCCGCGGUAAUACGAAGGGGGCUAGCGUUGUUCGGAUUUACUGGGCGUAAAGCGCACGUAGGCGGAUCGAUCAGUCAGGGGUGAAAUCCCAGAGCUCAACUCUGGAGCUGCCUUUGAUACUGUCGAUCUGGAGUAUGGAAGAGGUAAGUGGAAUUCCGAGUGUAGAGGUGAAAUUCGCAGAUAUUCGGAGGAACACCAGUGGCGAAGGCGGCUUACUGGUCCAUUACUGACGCUGAGGUGCGAAAGCGUGGGGAGCAAACAGGAUUAGAUACCCCGGUAGUCCCUGUCUCUUAUAC